GACGAACGCUGGCGGCGUGCUUAACACAUGCAAGUCGAACGGAAAGGCCCUGCUUUUGUGGGGUGCUCGAGUGGCGAACGGGUGAGUAACACGUGAGUAACCUGCCCUUGACUUUGGGAUAACUUCAGGAAACUGGGGCUAAUACCGGAUAGGAGCUCCUGCUGCAUGGGGGGGGUUGGAAAGUUUCGGCGGUUGGGGAUGGACUCGCGGCUUAUCAGCUUGUUGGUGGGGUAGUGGCUUACCAAGGCUUAGACGGGUAGCCGGCCUGAGAGGGUGACCGGCCACCUUGGGACUGAGAUACGGCCCAGACUCCUACGGGAGGCAGCAGUGGGGAAUAUUGCACAAUGGGCGGAAGCCUGAUGCAGCAACGCCGCGUGCGGGAUGACGGCCUUCGGGUUGUAAACCGCUUUCGCCUGUGACGAAGCGUGAGUGACGGUAAUGGGUAAAGAAGCACCGGCUAACUACGUG
rnacentral:rRNA from 1 species